UAAAUCGAAGAGGUUGCGACCCACAUGAGUCCAUCAGCUGAGUUUCUGUAAGAACGUUGAAGCUGGUCAAAAGGGGCGGUCGCCGAAGCGCUUGCUGUUACAGCGGUAAGUUAGCUGGGACGUGGUUUAAGAAAUCACGGACUGUCGCGGGGCAUAUCCCCGCGGGGCGCUAUCGAAAAU
rnacentral:ncRNA from 2 species